rnacentral:misc_RNA from 1 species
GAUGAAGAACGUAGCGAAAUGCGAAAAGUAGUGUGAAUUGCAGAAUUCAGUGAAUCAUCGAAUCUUUGAACGCACAUUGCACCUCUCGGUAUUCCGGGAGGUAUGCCUGUUCGAGCGUCAUUUGUACCCUCAAGCUCUGCUUGGUGUUGGGUGUUUGUUCCGCCUCUGUGUGUGAACUCGCCUCAAAACAAUUGGCAGCCGGCGUACUUGUUUCGGAGCGCAGCACAUUUUGCGAUCCAGAUCAACGUACAGCGGCAUCCAAGAAGCCUUAUUUAACGCUCUUGACCUCGGAUCAGGUAGGGAUACCCGCUGAACUUAAGCAUAUCAAUAAGCGGAGGA